rnacentral:rRNA from 1 species
AUCAGCCACACUGGGACUGAGACACGGCCCAGACUCCUACGGGAGGCAGCAGUGGGGAAUAUUGGACAAUGGGCGAAAGCCUGAUCCAGCAAUGCCGCGUGAGUGAUGAAGGCCUUAGGGUUGUAAAGCUCUUUUACCCGGGAUGAUAAUGACAGUACCGGGAGAAUAAGCUCCGGCUAACUCCGUGCCAGCAGCCGCGGUAAUACGGAGGGAGCUAGCGUUGUUCGGAAUUACUGGGCGUAAAGCGCACGUAGGCGGCUUUGUAAGUUAGAGGUGAAAGCCCGGGGCUCAACUCCGGAACUGCCUUUAAGACUGCAUCGCUUGAAUCCAGGAGAGGUGAGUGGAAUUCCGAGUGUAGAGGUGAAAUUCGUAGAUAUUCGGAAGAACACCAGUGGCGAAGGCGGCUCACUGGACUGGUAU